rnacentral:rRNA from 1 species
GUCUCUUUGUUAAUAGAAAAUAAAGAGUCGUACCUGCUCGGUGAAUUUAAUUUUAACAGCUGCGGUAUUUUAACUGUACUAAGGUAGCAUAAUAAUUUGCCUUAUAAAUUGAGGCUAGAAUGAAUGGUUUGACGAAGGUUUAACUGUCUCUAUUUUAUUUAUUAGAAUUUAAUUUUUAAAGUGAAAAAGCUUAAAUAUUUUAAAGGGACGAGAAGACCCUAUGAGCUUAAAUUUAAAAGUUUAUUAUUUGUUAUAGACUUUUAAAAUUUUAAUUGGGGUGAUUAAGGAAUAAUUUUUAAAAGGUAACUUCCUUAAAUAUAAAGUUGUUAGAUUAAUUAACCAAUUUAUAUUGCUUAUAAAAAAGUUACCGUAGGGAUAACAGCGUAAUUUAUUUAAAGAGUUCAUAUUGAAAAAUAAGAUUGCGACCUCGAUGUUGGAUUAAGGUUACCUUAAGGUGCAGCGGCUUUAAUAGGUAAAUCUGUUCGAUUUUUAAAACUUU